rnacentral:rRNA from 1 species
GGGGAAUUUUGGACAAUGGGGGCAACCCUGAUCCAGCCAUGCCGCGUGUAUGAAGAAGGCCUUAGGGUUGUAAAGUACUUUUGUUAGGGAAGAAAAGUCAGCUGUGAAUAAUGGCUGAUACUGACGGUACCUAAAGAAUAAGCACCGGCUAACUACGUGCCAGCAGCCGCGGUAAUACGUAGGGUGCGAGCGUUAAUCGGAAUUAUUGGGCGUAAAGCGAGUGUAGACGGUUAUUUAAGCCAGAUGUGAAAUACCCGAGCCUAACUUGGGAGGUGCAUAUGGAACUGGGUAGCUAGAGUGUGUCAGAGGGAGGUAGAACUCCACGUGUAGCAGUGAAAUGCGUAGAGAUGUGGAAGAAUACCGAUGGCGAAGGCAGCCUCCUGGGAUAACACUGACGUUGAGGCUCGAAAGCGUGGGGGGCAAACAGGAUUAGAUACCCUGGUAGUCCACGCCCUAAACGAUGACAAUUAGCUGUUGGCCCCAUUAAGGGGUGAGUAGCGAAGCUAACGCGUGAAAUUGUCCGCCUGGGGAGUACGGUCGCAAGAUUA